rnacentral:tRNA from 4 species
GUGGAGCAGUUUGGUAGCUCACAAAGCUCAUAGCCUUGGGGUUACGGGUUCGAU